UGUGCACAUCUGUGUGUGUGGGGAUGUGUGUGUGUGUUCUUACAUCAGUGUGUAUCUCCUCAGGUCCUGAGGAUUCAGGGAGAAGACUCUACAGGAUGGGUGCUGUGAGCUUUGGGAUGCUGUGUGUUCUACAAGUCACUCUCAACAUCUCCCUGAGACUAGUCUACCAGUUACAACAACCUGACUGAAGAGAGAGGCCAUCUUCAGGCAAAGCUUUUUGUGAUAGAGCAGUAUUGUCAAGAUGAAUGGAGAUACUUUGAUUCCAGUUUCUACUUCCUCUCCACUGAGAAGAAAACCUGG